AAUUCUUACCGUGGCUGCUGUGAACUGGAUGGUUCCACACAGUCGAAGGCUUUUGCUGAAACGCAGUUCCAGGUUUCUUUUCCCCUGUUGAACUCAAACGUCACCAUCUCCGACUGUGAGAUUUAACAGCCCGGCACGAGGAAGAGAUCGAGCCCUUGUGGGAAAAGCCCAGCGUGGAUCCACUGCAGGACAUGAGCAGGAAUGGUGUCAGGUGGAGUCCAACAUCGAUCUUGACAAGUUUCUGGUAGACGAUCACUUUUU